UACGUAGGGUGCAAGCGUUGUCCGGAAUUAUUGGGCGUAAAGAGCUCGUAGGCGGUUUGUCGCGUCGAAUGUGAAAACCCGGGGCUCAACCCCGGGCCUGCAUUCGAUACGGGCAGACUAGAGUUCGGUAGGGGAGUCUGGAAUUCCUGGUGUAGCGGUGAAAUGCGCAGAUAUCAGGAGGAACACCCGUAGCGAAGGCGGCACUCUGGGCCGAUACUGACACUGAGGAGCGAAAGCGUGGGGAGCGAACAGG
rnacentral:rRNA from 1 species